UCGUCACACUAUCAUUAACUGAAUCCAUAGGUUAAUGAGGCGAACCGGGGGAACUGAAACAUCUAAGUACCCCGAGGAAAAGAAAUCAACCGAGAUUCCCCCAGUAGCGGCGAGCGAACGGGGAGGAGCCCAGAGCCUGAAUCAGCAUGUGUGUUAGUGGAAGCGUCUGGAAAGGCGCGCGAUACAGGGUGACAGCCCCGUACACAAAAGCGCAUGUGUUGUGAGCUCGAUGAGUAGGGCGGGACACGUGGUAUCCUGUCUGAAUAUGGGGGGACCAUCCUCCAAGGCUAAAUACUCCUGACUGACCGAUAGUGAACCAGUACCGUGAGGGAAAGGCGAAAAGAACCCCGGCGAGGGGAGUGAAAAAGAACCUGAAACCGUGUACGUACAAGCAGUGGGAGCACCCUUUGGGGUGUGACUGCGUACCUUUUGUAUAAUGGGUCAGCGACUUAUAUUCUGUAGCAAGGUUAACCGAAUAGGGGAGCCGGAGGGAAACCGAGUCUUAACCGGGCGUUAAGUUGCAGGGUAUAGACCCGAAACCCGGUGAUCUAGCCAUGGGCAGGUUGAAGGUUGGGUAACACUAACUGGAGGACCGAACCGACUAAUGUUGAAAAAUUAGCGGAUGACCUGUGGCUGGGGGUGAAAGGCCAAUCAAACCGGGAGAUAGCUGGUUCUCCCCGAAAGCUAUUUAGGUAGCGCCUCGUGAAUUCAUCUCCGGGGGUAGAGCACUGUUUCGGCUAGGGGGCCAUCCCGGCUUACCAACCCGAUGCAAACUGCGAAUACCGGAGAAUGUUAUCACGGGAGACACACGGCGGGUGCUAACGUCCGUCGUGAAGAGGGAAACAACCCAGACCGCCAGCUAAGGUCCCAAAGUCAUAGUUAAGUGGGAAACGAUGUGGGAAGGCCCAGACAGCCAGGAUGUUGGCUUAGAAGCAGCCAUCAUUUAAAGAAAGCGUAAUAGCUCACUGGUCGAGUCGGCCUGCGCGGAAGAUGUAACGGGGCUAAAC
rnacentral:rRNA from 1 species